ACACGUAUCCAACCUGCCGAUGACUCGGGGAUAGCCUUUCGAAAGAAAGAUUAAUACCCCGAUGGCAUAGUUCUUCCGCAUGGUAGAACUAUUAAAGAAUUUCGGUCAUCGAUGGGGAUGCGUUCCAUUAGGUUGUUGGCGGGGUAACGGCCCACCAAGCCUUCGAUGGAUAGGGGUUCUGAGAGGAAGGUCCCCCACAUUGGAACUGAGACACGGUCCAAACUCCUACGGGAGGCAGCAGUGAGGAAUAUUGGUCAAUGGACGAGAGUCUGAACCAGCCAAGUAGCGUGAAGGAUGACUGCCCUAUGGGUUGUAAACUUCUUUUAUACGGGAAUAAAGUGAGGCACGCGUGCCUUUUUGUAUGUACCGUAUGAAUAAGGAUCGGCUAACUCCGUGCCAGCAGCCGCGGUAAUACGGAGGAUCCGAGCGUUAUCCGGAUUUAUUGGGUUUAAAGGGAGCGUAGGCGGACGCUUAAGUCAGUUGUGAAAGUUUGCGGCUCAACCGUAAAAUUGCAGUUGAUACUGGGUGUCUUGAGUACAGUAGAGGCAGGCGGAAUUCGUGGUGUAGCGGUGAAAUGCUUAGAUAUCACGAAGAACUCCGAUUGCGAAGGCAGCCUGCUGGACUGUAACUGACGCUGAUGCUCGAAAGUGUGGGUAUCAAACAGGAUUAGAUACCCUGGUAGUCCACACAGUAAACGAUGAAUACUCGCUGUUUGCGAUAUACAGUAAGCGGCCAAGCGAAAGCGUUAAGUAUUCCACCUGGGGAGUA
rnacentral:rRNA from 1 species